UGGAGGAGGGAGGCUGGGGGCUCAGAGGAGGAAGGCCUUGUUCAAGGUCACAAAGCCGUUCAGCAGCAGAGCCGGGAUGCAAGGACUCUCGAUCCUGGCUCUGGCGGCUGCCAGCCUGGGAAAGCUGCCCAGCCCUUUCACCCACUUUUUGCCUUGUGCUGGGGAAACGUUGCGCGGGGUAGCGGAGGCAGCAUGAUCUGAGAAAUCCAACCAGGCCCAGACACCAGGGGAUGCAUGGGUCCCCCGUGGGCCCCCGGCGGCGAGCAGCAUUCUGAAAGCCCACCCGAGCAAGACAGGACCUGAGGACAGACGGGCUCAAGACGGGGAGACCCCAGUGCAGUGGGGACCAGAGAGCAGGUGUCGGGAGACUGGUCAAAGACACUCCACCGAGGCUGCUGGGAGAAAGUCCCAGGAGAAGUGGAGAGGCUUCUCAUUCAAGAGUAAUGAAGCAGCUGGAGGCCCCCUUCCAGAGCCCACUUUGGCCCUCACAGGCCAGUUGGGAGCACUGGAUGGAGAACCAAGGUACAAGAGAUUCGUGUUCUGGUUUCAUUCCCACCUAUAGGUUGAACCAGUCAUUCCCCCUCUCUGGGCCUCUAGCUUCCCAUUCCUGCCACACCAGGGACCUCCAAGGACUCUUCUCGCUCUGACAGGUGGUCCAGCAGUGGUGCUUUUUCUUUCUGGGAUCCCCUGACCUGUCAGGUGGAUGAUCCCGUAGGAGUCACCUCUCUGAACCUUCCAAUCACCAGCAAUUACAGUCUUCCAAGUACGGCUGCUACUUGGGGGUCACCCAGCAUCCACUUCCCCUUCGUUUCCUUGGGGGGAAGCCUCCCUCCUCCACCUCAGCCAGGUGCAGUGAGUGGAACUGACUCCAUCCUUGACUCCAUGGGGAGGAAGGUGACCAGACAGGGAAAUGCCUGCAUUCCAUUCCCUGAGCUGUCCAGGGUAGUCAUGUGACCCAAUUCCAGUCCACAGCAGUCAGGUUCAGGAUCUGUCUCAAAUGCUGAGAAAUCUGGAAGCAUAAAACCUGGGAGGGUUGGCGGCUGGACUUGGCUGGCAGCCAUCCUGCCUCCGCUGGGAAUGGAGCUGUGACAGAGAAGGCAGAGCUUGGGGGCGGAGAGAUCCGGCUGCUGAUGUAGCUCAAUCUCUCCAGUCCAGCUGUGCCUGAAGCCAACCGCCCUCGGCUUUUCAGGUCCAGGAGCCAAUACACACCUUUGUCACUUACAGCUGGUUUGAAGUGGGUUUUCUGUUGCUUACAACCGGAAGAAUAGUGACUGUUUUGCUGGAUUUACUUGAUUCUACGACACCAUCAAUAGUAAGAUAAUUUUUUAAAGGAAAAUAUUAUAUCCAGUUAAAUAACAGCUUUUUUUUAUAUAUAAGAUUGUCUCCUUUGGGGAUUUGAUCAAAGUUCUUCACAUUCAGAGUCUAAACUUUCUUUGGAUGAAUUUGGCAAUUUGUACUUCUAAUUGCAUUGCCUGGCUGGCGAUGGCCUUCUGUACACUUAGCCUUAUGUUUCCAUGUGGCGUCAUUUUAGAAGUCUUUCUAAGUGAUAAUUAGGGAUCUGGUCUGGUAAAAUUCCAUCAGGCUCGACUGCAGCCACCUGAGAAGCCAGAUAGCAGACAGUGAGGACACCUAAUCACCCUCUGCCCGCUGACUGGCCUGUUUCUUGGACAUCAAUUGUGGGGCACAUCCUCAUUCCAGAAACGUUAAGAUGCCCACGUGGGGCCAGUGUUUCAGAACUAGAUCGGGAGGAGUUACCAUUUCCUGCGGGACCGGCACCAAGCUAAGCAGAACAGAGUUAGGACCUCGGGCAAGUAACAUCAGCACUCUGUUUCUGUGUUGCCCCGUCUGCGAACGAAAAGAAUAGCUUUACGGAAGUGUUGGGAAGCUUUAAUGAACAAAUCAGUAUAAUACUCUUAGGACAGCGUUGGCAUAUAAGGAUAGCCCAAUACAUAUCAGUUAUUGCUGUUUUAAUUCUCGCAACUACCCUUGGAGGUCAAUAGGAUGAUCCUACUUUGUGGUUUAGGACCCUGAGAUCAGAGACAAGAAGGGACUUGUCCCAGGUCACUCAUUGGGGAAGGAGAUGGUGGAUCUGGGACUCAAAGUCAGGCCUGUCCAGUACCCAGGCCUAUGUUCUUAACCAUCAUGCCACAUGGACCUCCAAGAGUGUAGCUGGGCUGGGCCAGGGGACCUUGGGGUCCACUUCUUAGACAUGGAGCAGAGAAAAGUCAGACUCACUCACCAGCCAAGCUCACUGCCCAGACCGCUGUCUUCGUCCCGAUAUGUGGAACCCUGGGCCUUUGAAAAUUCCAGAGAGAGGGGCACCUGGGUAGCUCAGUUGGUUAAGCAUCUGCCUUCAGCUCAGGUCAUGAUCUCAGGGUCCUGGGAUCGAGCCCCGCAUCAGGCUCUCUGUCAGCGGGGAGUCUGCUUCUCUCUCUCACUCUCCCUCUGUGCUCUCUUGCUCUCUCAAAUAAAUAAAUAAAAUCUUAAAAAAAAAAAAAGAAAGAAAGAAAACUCUAGAGAGAGAAAACACCAUGGCCUUAGCAGAGAUGGGACUUGUCCAAGGCCAUACAGCCAGGGAGUGACAGAGCUCAGGCUGGAAACUCGCCAUUCCCUGACACCUCACAUAUCCUCCUGCUUCACUGCCCUCCCCUGUGUGCAUCUUUCCCCAGCACCCCCUCCUCUGAGAAGCUCUCCCUGACCGCUACGGCCCACGGCCCUGUGAGUUGCUCCUUGCAGGGUCCCAAUAUUCACUGGCAUUUCAAACAUGCACUUUGCAGUCAGGCCGACCUUGAAUCCUCCUUCUGCCACUUAUUAACUGUGUAAGCCUGGGUUCAUUUUCCCCGUCGCUGAGCCUUGGUGUCCUCACCUGUAAAAUGGGCUACAAAAGCCCAUCUCCUGGGGUCAACAUCAAGUUUCGGGGGAGAUCAGGGCUGAGCACAACCUGGUACAGAGCCUGCACCCAGCAGCUAUUCCCUCCCUCCCCUCCCUAAGCAGCAUAACUACUAACAUGAAUAAUCCAAAAUAAAAUGAAUAAUAAGGAUAAUGGGCAGAAAAGAAAAGCAGAUAGUGAACGUUUUUUUAUUGAACUACACACACAUAUAUAAUCGUGGCAGUGAAAACUAACAAACUAAUACAAAAUUAUACUUUUGUAAAUAGGAAAAGGAAACAGUAAUGAAUUAAUACUUUUAAGUCACAUUAUUAUUAUUAUUGUAAAAAGGAAAAAGAGCACAUUAAGAAACACUUGCAGAAGAGCACACCCAGGAUGUUCAGAGUGUGAUGCACAUAAGCUGGCGUGAGGCUCCUCAAGCCCAGCUUCUGGCUCUCGGCGGGGGGGCGGGGGGGGAGGUCACCCAGCGGGAGCUGCUUGUCCCGCACCUGCUGUUAAAUACAGGGGUAUGGGGAGCACCGGAUGGAGCACCAGUGGCCGAAGUUGAGUUUAACCCUUCCAAACGGUUACCAAACUUGUAGUAGUUGAGUCUGGGUGUGUUGGGAGCCAAGCGUACAAUGAAGUUUUCUGGACUAACUUCCACGUCGAACCCAGUGUUUAUCAUAGUUAAUGUUGUCUUACAACGUGCUAAUCUCAUAUGAAGCCUAACGGUAACCGCAGUGAUUGUUUAGAACGUGGACUGCUGAAAGAUUUUGACUGGGAGGAGUAAUUUCAUUGCCAUCUUCGGUGAGAACUGCCAGUGCAGAGUGAUAAUAAAAAGCAGACCGACUUUUAGAGGUUUCAUUAUUGCUUUUAAACUCCGUGCAGACGCCACUGCCCUCAUUGCUUGCACGGGGCAGACCUCCCUCUGCUCCGCCCUCAGUCCUCCACUGUGCUCAUCUCAUGGUGUUGUUUCCAUGAUCAUAACAUGGUUUAACCACUGGGCAUCCCCACGAAGGGGUGAAGGAGGGAGGGAGGGAGGCAGUCCAGAACAGGGAGCCAUGGCUUCUGAGUCCUGGGUCUAACUCCGUUAUAACAUGCUGUGUGUCUUAGGGAAGUCACCCCCUCUCUGGGCUUCAGAUGGGAUGGGGCAUCUUUCCCCAGCUUCCCUCAGCCCGGACGAUAGAGAUGUCAGCCGCAGGGACAGAAGCAUGCGACAAAGGCAUGCCUAGCUCUAACCCUGGGCACCUCUUUGGGAGUCAAACCGAAGCUAGUGCUGGGCCAGGCCCACCUCCUGCCCCAGCUGCCUGGCUGUCCUUAGGCCGUGACGGCUCCGUAGCGGCCCCUCAGCUCCAGGGCUCUGCCCGCCCCCAGCUCCCGGUAACCUCUGUCAUUGGAGGUGCCUUGUGGUUGCCCCCGCGGCCACCCUGUUUCCAGCCUGUAAGAAAGGCCUUCCUAGUGUGCAGCUGUUGCAGAGGCCCCUCCGCCCCAGGCUGGGGCCCCAGGCGACAUCUCUCAAUCCUGUCACUCAGCCGUCUCCUUUCCGGCGGGCUGCGCUACAAGAGCUUGGUUGGAAAGCAGCCUCAUCCCCUACUUGGAACCUCUGCUCCCUUCCCACUUUAAAUCUGACGCCUCCCUGACCUGCUGCGGGGCCAUGGGGACACUAGACUGCCUGGAAGAGAAUAGUCAAACGUACACCCCCCAUGUCACAUCGAGUUAGCCAGGGGUAGAUCUCAUGGGAGCAAGGUGGCCACGGGGCAAGAGCAGACGUGGCAGGUGGUGGCCCAGCUUCUCCGUGUCCUUCAGCUUCUCUGUGGGACCUCACAGUCGUUGCUACUUUCUCUGAGGAGGUAGCUCCUUCCAGGGCAGAGAAAGAGGCUGAGUUCUUGCUAUGCCAUCGAGUGUUUUAUACUCGGGUUUCAUCAUAGUCCAGGAGAGCAUCUGUAACAAUGUAGGCAGGUCCUCAAAAAGAAUGUUUACCAAGGUUGAAUGGCCUGGUUGCUGAGGCUUCAGUACCUCCAUUUCCAGCCCUCCGGUGACCUACAUAACUGUCCCCCCAAGCUCACUGGCAUUGAGGGAUCUUCCACGUCUUUUUGUGGCUUGAUAUCUCAUUUCUUUUCAUGGCUGAAUAAUACUCCAUUGUCUGGAUAUAGCGAUGUUUGUGUACCCACUCACCGAUUGAAGAACAUUUUGGUUGUUUCCAGGUUUUAGAGAUUAUGAAUAAGGCUCGUAUAAAGAUUCACAUGUUUUUCAUGUAGAUGUAACUUUUCUUUUUGUAAGAUUUUAUUUAUUAUUUGAGAGAGAGAGCGCGCGCACACUCGCGCAGAGGGAGGGGCAGAGGGAGAGGGAGACAGGGAAUCCUGAGCAGACUCCGUACGGAGCACAGGGCCUGACACUGGGCUCGAUCUCACGACCCUGAGAUCAUGACCUGAGCCAAAAUCAAAAGUUGGACACUUAACCCCCCCGAGCCACCCAAGUGCCCCUAAAUGUAACUUUUCAAUGCAAGUGGGUACAUAGGAGCGCAAUUGCUGGAUUGCAUGGUAAGAAUGUUUACUUUUGUAAAAACUACCAAAUUGUCUUCCCACGUGGCUGUACUAUUUCGCAUUCUCAUCAGCAAUGAAUGAGAAUUUCUGUUGCUUUUUAUCCUUGCCACUGUUUGGUAUUAUCAGUUUUGUGGAUAUUAGCCAUUCGGAAAGGUAUGGAAUGAUAUCUCAUUUUAAUUUGCCAUCCCCUAAUGACAUAUGAUGUUGAGGAUCUUUGAUAUGCUUAUUUGCAACCUGUAUAUUUUCUUUGGUGAGGUGUCCAGAUCUUUUGCCCACUUUUGAAUUAGGUUGUUUGUUUUCUUAUUGUUGAUUUCUAAAUACUCUUUGUAUAUUUGGGGAUACCAGUCCUUUAUCAGAUAUGUUUUGCAAAUAUCCUCAGUCUGGAGAAGUGGCUUAUCUUUUCAAUCUAAUAUUUUUUCACAAAGCUGAAGUUUUUACUUUUAAUAAAGUCCAAUGGAAUCAUUUUUUCCUUCUAUGGAUUGUGCUCUUAGUGUCAAAUUAAAAAAUUCAUUGCCAAACCCAAGGUCACUCAGAUUUGCUCUUAUGUUAGCUUCUACAAGUUUUAUAGUUUUACGUUUUACAUUUAUUUGUUUAUUUUUAAAGAUUUUACUUAUUUAUUUGACAGAGAGAGAGAGAGAGACAGUGAGAGAGGGAACACGAGCAGGGGGAGUAGGAGAGGGAGAAGCAGGCUUCCCGCAGAGCAGGGAGCCCGAUGCGGAGCUCGAUCCCAGGACCUGGGAUCAUGACCUGAGGCGAAGGCAGACGCUUAACGACUGAGCCACCCAGGCACCCCUAUGUUUUACAUUUAAAUCUAAGAUCCAUUUUGAGUUUACUUUUGUAACAAGUAUAAGGGCUGAAUCUAGCUGCACUGUUUUAUAAAUGGAUGCCCAAUUGUUCUAGCACCAUUUGUUGAAAAGAUUAUCCUUUCUCUGUUGAAUUGUCUUUGCUCUUUUGUCAAAGAUCAGUUGACUACAUUUGUGUGGGUCCAUUUCUGGGCUCUUUAUUCUGUUCCACUGAUCAACCUGUGUAUUCUUCCACCAAUGCCACACUGUCUUGAAUACUGUAGAUCUAUAGUAAGUCUUAAAGUCAGGUAGUGUGAAUCCUCUGACUUCAUUCUUCUUCAGCAUUGUGUUGGCCAUUCUGGGCCUUUUGCCUUUUCAUUUAUAAAGUCAAUUUGUUAAUAUUAAAAAAAACUUGCUGGGUUUUGAUUGGGAUUAUGUUGAAUUUAUAGUGGAAUUCGGGAGAAUUGAUAUCUUAAAAAUAUUUAGUCUUCCUAUCCACGCACAUGAACUCUCUCUCCAUUUAUUUAUAUCUUCUUUGAUUCUUUUCAUUGGAGUUUUAUAAUUUUCUUCAUAUAAAGCCUAUACCUAUUUUGUUGGACUUAUGCCUCCAUAUUUCGUUAUUUUUGCUUCUAAUGUAAAUGGUGUUGUGUUUCCAACUAUUCAUUGCUGGCAAUGGAAAGCAAUUGAUUUUUACAUACUAACUUUAUAUCCUGUGACCUUCCUAUAAUCACUUACUAGUUCCCAGAGUUUUUUUGGUCAAGUCUUUGGGAUUUUAUACAUAGACAGUCAUGUCCUCUAUGCAAAGAUAGCUUUAUUUAUCCCUGCCCCAACAUGUAUAUCUUUCCUUUUCUUAUCGCAUUAGCUAGGACUUCCAGUCCAAUGUUGAAUAGGAGCAGUAAGAGGGGGUAUCUUCGCAUGUCCCUAAUUUAAGGGGGAAAGUAUCCAGUGUCUCUCCAUUGAGUAUGAUGCUAACCAUAGGAUUAUGGUGAACACCCUUUAUCAGUAAGUUUGAGAAUGUUCCUAUUAUUCCUAAGUUGUUGAGAAUUUUUAUCGUGAAUGAGUGUUGGAUUUUGUCAAAUGGUUUUUCUGCAUCUACUGAUAUGAUCAUGAUUUUUCUCCUUCAGCCUGUUAAUAUGAUGGAUUACAUUAACUGGUUUUUGAAAGUUGAAUCAGAUUUCCAUACCUAGAAGAAGUCUUAUUUGGUCAUGUGUAUAAGUCUUUUUAUACAUUGUUGGAUUUGAUUUUCUAAUAUUUUUUGAGUAUUUUCGCAUCUACGUUCAUGAAAGAUACUGGUCUGUAAUAUUCCUUUCUUAUAAAUGUCUUAAUCUGGUUUUUCUCUAUUUCUUUAAUAAAUAUAGGCCUAUUCAAAUUAUCUAUUUCUCCUUUUGUGAGUUUUGGUUGUUUGUGUCUUUCAAGGAAUUGGCCCACUUCAUCUAAGUUAACAAAUUUAUGGGCAUAAAGCUGUUCAUAAUAUUCCUUUGUUAUCCUUUCAACGACCCCUCCUCCAUGUACGAUAUUUGUAAUUUGUGUUUUCUUUUUUUUCUUGGUUAGCUUGGGAGGCUUAUGAAUUUUAAUGAUUGUUUCCCCCAAAGAACAAGUUUUGGUUUUGUGGAUCUCUACUGAUCUCCUGUUUUCAAUUUCAUUGAUUUCUGAUUUAAUUUUUUAUUUCUUCUUUUCUUCUGCUUAUAUUACUCUUCCAUCUCUAUUUUAUUUAUUUUUUAUUUAAAUUCAAGUUAGUUAACAUAUAGUGUUGUAUUGGUUUCCAGAGUAGAAUUUAGUGAUUCAUCACUUAUAUAUAAUACCCAGUGUUCAUCACAAGUGCCCUUCUUAAUGCCCAUCCCCCCAUUUAGCCCAUCCCCUGCCCACCUGCCCUCCAGCAACCCUCAGUUUGUUCUCCAUAGUUAAGAGUCUCUUAUUGUUUGCCUCCCAUGCUGUUUUUAUCCUAUUUUAUUUUAUCUUCCAUUCCCCUAUGUUCAUCCAUUUUGUUUCUUAAACUCCACGUAUGAGUAAGAUCAUAUUUGUCUUUCUCUGACUAAUUCUUAUUUUUGCUUAGCAUAAUAUCCUCUAGUUCCAUCCAUGUUGUUGCAAAUGGCCAGAUUUUAUUCUUUUUGAUCGCCGAGUAAUAGUCUAUUGUAUAUGUAUAUACAACAUCUUCUUUAGCCAUCCAUCAGUUGAUGGACACCUCUAGUUUCUUAAGGUGGAAACUUAGAUUAUUGCUUUCAGACCUUCUUUUCUGAUAUAUAUAUAUAUGAUAGAUACAUUUUAAUAUGUUGUAUUUCAUAUU